rfam:Ipomoea nil DNA, scaffold: scaffold1250, cultivar: Tokyo-kokei standard.
GUCAAUAUGUCGGAGUGGUUAAGGAGAUAGACUCGAAAUCUAUUAGGCUUUGCCUGCGCAGGUUCGAAUCCUGCUGUUGACG